GGGGUUAUCCGCUACAAUGGGGGAAACCCUGAUGCAGCGACGCCGCGUGGAGGAAGAAGGUCUUCGGAUUGUAAACUCCUGUUGUUGGGGAAAAAGAGGAUGGUACCCAACAAGGAAGUGACGGCUAACUACGUGCCAGCAGCCGCGGUAAAACGUAGGUCACGAGCGUUGUCCGGAAUUACUGGGUGUAAAGGGAGCGCAGGCGGGUAUGCAAGUUGGGAGUGAAAUACAUGGGCUCAACCCAUGAACUGCUCUCAAAACUGUGUAUCUUGAGUAGUGCAGAGGUAGGCGGAAUUCCCGGUGUAGCGGUGGAAUGCGUAGAUAUCGGGAGGAACACCAGUGGCGAAGGCGGCCUACUGGGCACCAACUGACGCUGAGGCUCGAAAGUGUGGGUAGCAAACAGGAUUAGAUACCCUGGUAGUCCACACCGUAAACAAUGAUUACUAGGUGUUGGAGGAUAGACCCCUUCAGUGCCGCAGUUAACACAAUAAGUAAUCCACCUGGGGAGUACGACCGCAAGGUUGAAACUCAAAGGAAUUGACGGGGGCCCGCACAAGCAGUGGAGUAUGUGGUUUAAUUCGACGCAACGCGAAGAACCUUACCAAGUCUUGACAUCCUCUGACGAUGCUGGAAACAGUAUUUUCCUUCGGGACAGAGAGACAGGUGGUGCAUGGUUGUCGUCAGCUCGUGCCGUGAGAUGUUGGGUUAAGUCCCGCAACGAGCGCAACCCUUAUGGAUAGUUACUACGCACGAGGGCUCUUUCCAGUCACGACGUC
rnacentral:rRNA from 1 species